UUGCAUAUUCUUACUAUAAUGUUCUUCUAUUUAAUGAACUUUGGAGUAUUUUCAUGCAGCCAAUACGAGCCAAAUUUAAGAUGUUUGUUGUAUUUAUCAGAUUUGAAAAAAUAAAAGGUUUAUCACAAUUCACAACCCAUUCUCAACCUAAUUUGGGGGACUUUGCUCUCAAUUCUAUCUCAAUUUUCCUACUAUUAUUGAUCUCACAGCCUGUUAGUCAGCUAGACAGUCACCCUACUUGAAUGACUGACAAAAGGAGACCAAACCACCAACUUGUCUCUAAGAUUUUUUGGUAAGCCUAACUAGUCCUUGCUAUCAUACUCGAAUAACCCCCACCUAUAAGGAGGAAUGUUAUCGACCAACUAUGAACUAUGAAGGCAAAUUAAGAACAUUGGCCUGAAAAUUUGAGACUCAACUCAAGAGUAUGUGUCCUAUGUGAUGCCUUUGAAUUGAAAGAUUUCUCAUUGAUCCUAUUCACUAAAGUGGUCAACUAUAGAGCAAAACCAUUUUUUUUUAUAAGUAGAAAUUAUAUUGAUCAAAAGUAUCCAUCAGGCGAGGAUGGCACCCACGUACACAGGGAGUGUACCAAAACAAAGGGGUUGCUUACAAAACAUUGCAAGCCCUUCAUAAAAUCGAUCACCAAAAUUGAAUGGGGAAAUCCCAAAUAAUCACGGCCUGCAGAGCAUAAGUAAUGGGAAUGAGAUAUGAAACUUACGGUCACGAGUUCAGAAAUUUUGGGAUGUAUUCAAGAAAAACAGAGCUUGGUUACUGGCUGAGCAUUGUGGAGAAAUAAAGGAUUCCACAACGAUAAUAAAGUACAUCAGUUGCUACCCUUCCUUUUCUUUGAGCAGAAAAAUAAAACUUAAAGUUAAUUGCUAUUCAUCUCAUAGUUAAUGUACAACUUGGUAGAAACAGUAAUAUUCAUUGCACCAUUAAAGUUGGGAAGAUACAAAUGCAACUGAUUUAAAGACGGAAUAUUUUUUAUUAAAAAAAAUAGGUGUUUAUACUUUAUAGAAACGUUAAAACAUUGAGAGGGAUCUCAUAGCCUCGUUAACCAAAAUCAAAAUCUAUGAAGAUUAGACCCAAAUUAAGAUUUGAAUAAAGCAUGUAAUACUAACCAAGUUGUUCCAUUUAUUUGCAACUCCAGAAUCCAUUGAUCAAGUUAGACUUGGCAGGUGCGCUCUGAGAAGAAUAAUGAAGCACAACAGACACAUUUAAGAUAACAUAGUAGCAAAAGUAAUGGAACUACUAUUGCAUUAUGAAACUUCAGAUCCUAACAUAGUAUCAUGACUUGAAUUUGACAGUCCAUUAAAAAUAAUUGUUCUUUAAAAAAAUGCCCUGAACUUGUUGAAGGAUGAUCAUGGUCUGUAACUGCAAUCCUAAAAAUAAAUACUAAAAUUAAAUUACUUUUACAUCACAUAUAUACCUUAAAAUCCUUAUGAACAAUAUUCCAAUCUUGUGCCAACCAUUAUAUAUUUGUGAGCAAAACUGAUGCAUGACAGAUUUAGGGUGAAGGAUUAAUGGACAAUAAACUAGGAUUUAACUCCACGUUUAAACCACUAAGAUCUCUCAAGUGUAUCAACUCCACGUAUUAACACCAAGAUGGAAAAAUACAUCUACGGUAGGAUACCUCUAAGAUAUGAAUAAAAUAAUUCACUUCAAUAUCAAUAGAAUGUAGUCUAAAAGGCUUGUGAGGAUUACAUCACUAUUUAAAGAAACUCAAACCCUAAUAUUACUUGGCGAAUAAUAAAAUACUAAACGACUAACAUACCAUUAUUAAUAAUUUCUAAUCACUAAUUAAUGUCCUAAAUCCCCACUAAAAAAUAAAAUACAUAAAUCACAUCAACUACUUUUUUAUUAAACAUAAUAAAAACUCCAAAUAAUAAAUAUAAAAAAUCUCUUCUUCUUUGUUCUUUACUUGGAGUCCCCAUCAUUCUCCUCUUGUUGGAGAGACCUCGAGUUCUAUAAUAUGAGAAAAUAAGCAAUGAACUCCUCCGCAACGAAAGAACAUCUUGAAACACCUUUGACAAAAUCAUCACACGGUAUGACUCAAAAAAAAUUUAAAAAAAUAUUGAUGAGAGCCUUGGUUUUGAAUUCGAAGGUGCUAAAAAGAAGCUUUCUGGAACAACGAAAUCAACAACGCCAACUUGAAUUGAAUCAACUUCUCAAAUCGUCUUUUCUUCGGUCAUGAACUCCUCAAAAGUAACGUUAGAGGUUUUCUCAAUUUGUUCCUCAUAUAUAAUCUAUGGUUCAACUUUUGAAACUUCAAGAAUUUCCAUGGACACGUUCUGUAGCCCCAAAAUUUGAAACAUCCUCUUUUUCUUUCUAUUGCUCUGCUUGAAAAUGUGCUCGCAAGUCAAUAAGGUCUUCUUUUAUAGAAGAUAUGUCAUCUAUUGAUAAAGAGAUGUGAUCUAUUAAAGAAGAACAUAUAAAAAUCAUAUCAUGUGUAGCCUUUUGAAGUUCUUUUGUUUUAACUUAUUGACGUUUCUUUACUUCAGCUUUUCUUUGUUCAUCUCGGCGUUGCAAUUCUCCAAGGUAUUCUUGUGCAUCAACCAUAUCUCAUCUAAGUUCUUCCUACUUGCGCUUCAAAUAUCUAUAACCACAUGUAUUAAUAAGGUAAUAAAUUUGAUCAUUUUUAUUGUCAAGUAACCAAAUAUACUCUUUUGUUUCGACAAUCAAUUCUUUAGUGACUAGAGACAUUGGGUGUUUGGGACAAUGGGUUAUAAUAUAAAUAAAUAAAUAAAAUAAAACUUAUUUUUUUUAUAAAUUAAGGGCCUAACUGAAAAGAAAAUAAAAAACAGGGGCUAAAAUAUGAAUUCAGAAGUGUAGGGGCUAAUUUAGAAAGAAUGAAAGGGUAUAAGUGAAAAGUGUAUAAACAACGAGGCUAAAAUUUAAAAGUUAAGAAAACCAUGAGAUGUAAACUGCAAUUUUGAAAAUAUAUUUAUAAGAUUACCUAUUAGGGUUAAGAGCAGCAACAGCAAAGCAGAGCACUAGCAAGAAGUUUUUUUCCGUUUUUUUUUCUUUUUCAGCGAACAACAACCCCGAUGAACAGUAACUCUGACGAUGAAUAAUAACUCCGGCGAUGAACAGUAACUUUUUUCCUCUUUUUUUUUAUACCCAAGAUCCCCAAACACUGAAAAAUUAAUGGAGAGACCUUAAACUUUGAUACCAAAAAUGAUGUAGGACAAAUUUAAGGUAAAGGAUUGAUGUACAAUAAACUAGGAUUUAAACUCCACGUUUAAACCACUAGGAUCUCUCAAAUGUAUCAACUCCACGUAUCAACACCAAAAUGAAAAAAUACAUUUUCGCUAUGAUACCUCUACGGUAUGAAUAAAAUAAUUUAUUUCAAUAUCAAUAGUAUGUAGUCUAAAAGACUUGUGAGGAUUACAUCACUAUUUAAAGAGACUUGAACCUAAUAAUACUUUGGGAAUAAUAAAAUACGGCAAAACUAAUGAUUUGGCCACCGAAGUUGGCACGUUUUAUUGAAUACCUGAUUGAACUUUUAAUUUUUCGAAUUAACUCACUCAACUAAUUAUUAUUUUCAAAUUGGGUCAUUCUGUCAAAUCUGGUUAACGGCUGUCAAAAUUUUUCAUACAUGGAAGCAAAAAAAAUAAUAAAAUAAAAUAAAAAAUGAGGUGGCCAACCAGCAACAAUGACAUGGAAAUAAAAAUAAAAAAUUUAUUUUUUUACUCUUUUUUAACAUUUUAAAGUUUUUAAAAUGACAAAAAUAUAAUAAAACACAAUAAAAAUUAAUAAAAAUAAAAACAUUUUUUCAUUCAUUAAAUUAAAUUUAUUUAUCAAGUCUUAAUCAAUUAAAAAACCAAACAUAUGUUCCUUAAAAAAAAGACAACAUUAAAAGUAAAAAAAUCAAAAACAUUCAAAACAGAUCUAGAUCGGGGAAGAUUCAAAACCAAAUCUUAAUCAAGUUCUUUCGUACGCGCGAGGUGGCCUCCGAGAGGGAGUCUGGGCGGGAGAGGGAAGAUCGGUCGACGAGCUCGUACCAGGGGCGGCGCUAGGAGAAGGCAUGGCGGACGAAGGAAGAGAGGCAUAAACGCGCGGAAGGCGGGGGUGGCUAUCGGCGGCUGAGAUUGGGGGUUGGCGGUGGUUGAUUGGGGACUUGAGAUCGGGAGAGUUUGUGGUGAAGCCAUUUCGCGGGAGAGAAGGAAAAAGACAAAGCGAAAGCUGAGUGCUUUCGUUGCAAUUUGCAGAAAAAGGGGCGGAGUAGGAGAAAGAUAAUUCAAACAUAUUGGUUUAUUUGACUGAGAAAAAGGGGCGGAGUAGGAGAAAGAUAAUUCAAACAUAUUGGCGGACGGAGGAAGAUAAUCCUCAUAUGUAUCUAGAUUUGUUUUGAAUGCUUUUAAUUUUUUUAUUUUUAAUGUGUCUUUUUUUUUUAAGAAAAAUAUGUUUGGUUUUUUAAUUGAUUAAGAUUUCAUUUAUCUUGAUAAAUAAAUUUAAUUUAAUGAAUGAAAAAAUGUUUUAUUUUUAUUAGUUUUUAUUGUGUUUUAUUAUGUUUUUGUCAUUUUUAAAACUUUAAAAUGUUAAAAAUGAGUAAAAAAAUAAAUUUUUUAUUUUUAUUUCCAUGUCAUUGUUACUGGUUGGUCACCUCAUUUUUUAUUUUUUUUUCAUUUUUUUUUUGCUUCCACGUAUGAAAAAUUUUGACAGCCAAACCAGAUUUGACAGAAUGGCCGAAUUUAAAAAUAAUAAUUAGUUCAGUGAGUUAAUUCGAAAAAUUAAAAGUUCAAUCAGGUAUUCAAUAAAACGUGCCAACUUUGGUGGCCAAAUCAUUAGUUUUGCCAAUAAAAUACUAAACGACUAACAUACCCUUCUUAAUAAUUUCUAAUCGCUAAUCAAUGUCCUAAAUUCCUACUAAUAAAUAAAAUACAUAAAUCACAUCAACUACUUUUAUAUUAAACAUAAUAAAACUUCAAAUAAUAAAUAUAAAAAAUCUUUUCUUCUUUGUUCGUUACUUGGAGUCCCCAUAGAAAAACAUGAAAGCAUAAGCAUGGUUCGAAAUUGCGUUCGAGGCGCGCCUCGAAGCGAGGCGGUAGUUUUCUAUGGCGAGGUUUACGCCUUAAAGGGAAAUACUAAGGCUUGCGCAUCAUUUGGCUGAGGCUUACGCCUCAGUGCGUUGCGCCUCAAGGCGUAGGCCUUGAUUUGAAUUAAAAUAAACCCUAACUCUGUUCAGUUCUUCACAUUCGUGCAACAGAUCAGGCGAGCUUUGUGCGACUUCUUCUUCUCGAUUCUUCGUGCGGCGUAUCAGGUUCUGUCUUUUUCUCGAUUUUUUUCUUAUUACAGUGAAUUUUUUUUUUAUUACAGUGAAUGAGAUUCUUCUCUCACCCACCAGAUUCUUCUUCUUCUCGAUUUUUUUAAUUACAAUUAAUUGUUAUUAUGGGUAAGAAAGAUUCAACUUGAAAAUAUGGCACCGAAGCUCCUAGAGUUAAUAAAUCUCAUUUAUAUAUGGAAUGCAAUUUUUGCAAGAAAAUUUGCAGAGGGAUUACAAGGCUAAAAAAUCAUCUUGUGGGUAAUCAUAGUAAUGUUGAGACUUGCAAAAAAGAACCAAAUGGAGUGAAGGAAGAGCUUGCGUCAUAUAUGAAGAAAAGUAUCGACUCAAAGGAGGAAAGACAAAGAAAUGAAGCUGAAAAAAUACAAAGUAGGUCUUAUUAUGGUGGUCAUCCAUCCUUGGGAGGUUCAAGCGUGGGUAGUGCCUUCGCGAGGGGAGUUCGGGGACCCAUGGACAUAUUUGUUGUAGAUGUUGAUGCUAUUGAUGAUGAUGCUAUUACAAAGCGUACCGUAUUUUCAAAGGAGACUCGUAAUGCAGUCUGUCUUGAUAUUUGUAGAUUCUUCUUUUAAAACGGGAUUCCUUUUAAUGUUGCAGAUAGUCCUUCAUUUAUAAAUAUGUGUCGGUCAAUUGGGAACUAUGGUCGUGGUUUAAAACUCCCUAUUCCAUACGAGCUUAGUUCUUGGAUAUUGAAGGAGGAAGAUAAGACUACAAAGGCAUUUGUUGAGAAGGUAAAGAAGACUUGAGCACAUACAGGGGUGUCAAUCUUGUCGGAUGGUUGGAAAGAUAUUAGGGGAAGACAACUAAUAAACUUUCUUGUAAACAACCCCAUGACACUGUAUUUUUGAAAUCUGUUGAUGCAUCUGAUGCAGUUAAAGAUGCUAGUUUGAUGUUUAAACUACUUGAUGAGGUUGUUGAGGAAGUGGGAGAAACCUUGUCAUUCAAGUAGUCACUAACAAGGCAUCUAAUUAUAAGGUGGCAGGGAUAAUGUUAAUGGAGAAGAGGCCACGUAUGUGGUGGACACCGUGUGUCGCGCAUUGCAUCGAUUUGAUGUUUGAGAAGCUUGGAGAGUUGCCUCAACAUAAAAAUGCUUUGACAAAAGACAAAGAAGGUAAUUACUAUUAUUAUUUUUUGGAUAUAAUUUUUUUUAUUCAAUGAAUACUUGAAUUAUUUUUUUUUUUGAUGAAUACCAUUAUGUAAUUGUAGGUAAGCAACUUCAUAUAUAAUCAUGGAUGAGUCUUGGCAUUGAUCGGCCAGGCGCCACUAAAUUUGCCAGUGCUUAUUUAACUUUGCAGAGUAUGCAUAGUUUGAGACAGCCUUUGGAGGCAAUGCUUACAUCUAGGGAGUGGGCAAAUUGUACUUGGGCAAAAAAACCUGAAUGUAGUGAUAAGAAUUUUUGGGGUAGUGUAGGAUAUGCAAUUAAGACCACAAAACCUCUAGUAAGUGUAUUGAGAAUGGCAGAUUCAGAGAAGAUGUCGAGAAUGAGAUUUUUAUAUGGUGCCAUGGACAAUGCAAAAGAAGAGAAUGCAAAAAAUUUGGAUAAUGAGGGGGCCUAUAAAGAGAUAUGGAGCAUAAUAGUUGCUAAGUGGAACAAUCAGUUGCAUCGGCAUUUGCACGCUGCUGCAUAUUUUUUGAAUCCUCAUUUUCAAUAUGAUGACAAUUUUUGUGUCAAUGUGGAAGUUAAGGUGGGAUUAUACACUUGUAUGGACAAGCUUAUUCCUAACUCCGAGGAAAGAGAGAAAGCUGAUUUGCAAUUAAAUGCAUUCCGAUUGAGGCAAGGGUUAUUUGACUACACAAAUGCCAAAAACACGUGUAAGAAACGUGCUCCCGGUAAGUACCGUUGAUUAAUGUAUGGCUAUGCUUUCAUUUUGAUUAAACGUGCUCCCGGUAAGUACCGUUGUACCGGUAAGAUUGAUAUAUAUUUUAAUAUUGAUCCAGCUAAUUGGUGGAUCGCAUUUGGAGAUGAAGCUCCAGAAUUAAGAAACUUUGCAGUGAAGAUUUUGAGUUUAACUUGCUCAUCUUCGGCGUGUGAACGUAAUUGAAGUACUUUCAGUCAGGUAUUUAUUAGAUAUAAAUCAUUUAUAUUCUCAAAUCUAUUUACUAAGAUUUUAUGAGAUCUCACUAAUGCUCAAUUACUUGUAAUAAGAUAUAUACAAACAGAAGGAAUCGACUGUCCGCAUUCAAGCUCAACUCAUUCGCUUACAUUAUGUACAAUAAAAAAUUAAAAGAUCGGUACAUCAAAAAAAGGCACUAACAGAAGAAGCGGAUCCAUUGGUUGUUGAUGGUGUGCCAUCUGAUAAUGAGUGGGUUACGGGGGGAAAUGAUGAAAACAUCUCGAGAGUGACUUAAAAGCUUGAUGAUAUGGAGGAGGAGGGUGAAGGGACUCACGGGAAUGAAAUGACAGUUGAGGAGAAGAGACUAAUGUGAGGGAGAUUACACUUAGGGAAAUGGACUCGGGGAACAAGAAAGUAAACAAAAAAAUCAAAAGAGAAAGAGAAAGACUUUGCAGUCAAAAACUAAAACAAAAGGUUAGUGUCAUUACUUAAGUUGUCUUUAGACUUUAAAGUGUUCUUUAAAAAAACAACUCAUUAGUCAUUAUAUAUAUUCACUUGUUUAUUUCUAGAUAAAGGGAAGGGAUUGCAAUUGAUAGAUGAAUAAUCGGAGUAUGAGAAUCUUAGCAGUGACAAUGAGGAUGACAGAGCUAUUAGAUACGAUGAUGAUUUUAUGGAGGAUCCUCUUAGUGAUGAUAGGAAUGAUGAUGGAGAUGAUGGGGGGGAUGAUGAUCUAGGAUUUGAUCCAUUUUUCAGGUCGCUGGAUACAAAUGAUACACUACUUAUGUAGUGAUGGAUGAUCACUAUAUAAGUAGUUGAUGAUAUUAUGUUGUUUUGAUGUUUUAUAAUAAUACAUUAAGGUGACGUUGGUUAUUUAUGUCUUUUAUGGCCUUGAUUAUAAUGAUGAAUUAUUUUAUUAUUUUAUUAGUAUUUUUUUAUAAUUUUUUGGGGACUUUUAAGUUUUCAAAUCGAGGUUUAUACCUCGUCUCGUCCGGAAAAAAACGCGUCGUACCGUUUUUAGUUUUUUCGAACAUUGAGCAUACGCAUGGGUGGAGCCAAGCAAUCCCCAGCAGAGAGCAUGAUUGAUCAAGAAUGCCACCAAGAACUAGAACUUAGCGUAUCAAUGUAUAAAAAAAUAGCAUUUAAUUUUCAAGUCAUCGGUUAUUAGACCAUUCAAAUAAUUUUAAAGAAGCUUCUGACUGCCCUUCAUUUUUAUGACACUAUUUUUGCCAAAAAGUACACUACUGUUCUGAUUAUUCUUACAUUACAUGUAGAGUCCAGAAAAUUAUAGAUAAUUGUCACAUUAAUUUAAGCAGGUUAUUCAUAUUUGCAUUUAUUUGUAUCUGAUGCGGGGGAAGAGUCCAAUUCGAAAGUGGAUUAGGUGUUUAGGUGCGUUAGGGUCGGUAAACUUUUAAAAUGACAUAACUUUUGAUUCAUUUAGAGUUAGGGGGCCCAUAAUAGCUCUACAAGAGUCAUGGCCUUCGGCCAUGAGAAAUUAGUUUUUAAGCCAGAAAACCUGUUUUAAGUUGUUUUAUCAUUGGUCAAACUUGGAUUGUUUUUUUAAUUUUCAUUAUUUUAGUUCUCCUAAUCCUAGAUGUUGGUAAGUUGAUUAGGAUUAUAAAUACUCAUAUAUUAGGGCUCGUUAACAGUUACAUUUUAUUCAAUCAAUAUUUUAUAAUAUUUCUUUGUUCUCUUUUUGGUAGGUUUAAAACUUCAAAUCAUUGUAUGAAUCAAAUUAAAGUGCGAGAUCAAGGGAAAACCUUUUUCUUAAUUUCAAAUGGUGUGAUUGCAUGAAUUCCAGACCUUAUUACAGAAAACAAACCAUCAUAAUUGCAAACCUAGACAUACAAAGAUAAUAAUAUGUUGCAGUAGGAUCGAGAGAAUAAAUUUGAACACAUAACACAUAAGAACAGAUUAUAAAGGACGAUAGAGAGAAAUUACGGACCUUGUUUAGAUUCUUCUUCAUGCUUCUGGCUUGGUUUCGUAUUGACAAUUCGGGUUACCGAAGCUGUGACGGGGUAAGAGUGAAGCUGUAUUAUAUGGAUUCAGGUUGUGUGGACCGAGUUUGCGGGAAGAAGUGUAAUUGGAGUUGGUUAACCCGUAAAAUCAAAUAUUACCAAUUUUACAUGUUUGUUGGGUU
rnacentral:lncRNA from 1 species